rfam:Schistosoma haematobium scaffold79_17, whole genome shotgun sequence.
AGCUUUUUGAAUCCGUGCAGAGAUUUCGUCAAACACCAACUCAUUAAGGUUGAUUAAACUUCCAAGAUAAGUGAAACU